GGCGGCGCGUUUUAAGCAUGCAGUCGAACGGGAUUACAGAGCUUGCUCUGUAUGAGAGUGGCGAACGGGUGAGUAACACGUAGGUGAUCUACCCUGGGGAUGGGGAUAGCCUGUGGAAACACAGGGUAAUACCGGAUACGCCGAUUUUUCAAACCUUUGGGAAAUUGGGAAAGAUGCUAAGGCAUCGACCUGGGAUGAGCCUGCGGCUCAUUAGCUAGUUGGUGGGGUAAAGGCCUACCAAGGCGACGAUGGGUAGCCGGCCUGAGAGGGUGAACGGCCACACUGGGACUGAGAGACGGCCCAGACUCCUACGGGAGGCAGCAGCUAAGAAUCUUCCGCAAUGGGCGAAAGCCUGACGGAGCGACGCCGCGUGGAUGAAGAAGGCCGAAAGGUUGUAAAAUCCUUUUCUUGAUGAAGAAUAAAGGUGGGAGGGAAUGCCCACAAGAUGACGUUAGUCAAGGAAUAAGCCCCGGCUAAUUACGUGCCAGCAGCCGCGGUAACACGUAAGGGGCAAGCGUUGUUUGGAUUUAUUGGGCGUAAAGGGCGUGUAGGCGGUUGUCCAAGCCUGGUGUGAAAGGCUCUGGCUUAACCAGAGUUAGGCGCUGGGAACUGGGCGACUAGAGUUCAGGAGGGGAAGCUGGA
rnacentral:rRNA from 1 species